rnacentral:rRNA from 1 species
GACGAACGCUGGCGGCGUGCCUAAUACAUGCAAGUAGGACGCAGUUGCGAACGGGUGAGUAACGCGUAGGUAACUGCCUAUUAGAGGGGGAUAACUAUUGGAAACGAUAGCUAAUACCGCAUACUAGUAGAUGGACCUGCGUUGUAUUAGCUAGUAGGUAGGGUAAUGGCCUACCUAGGCGACGAUACAUAGCCGAACUGGCAGGGUGCUCGGCCAAACUGGGACGGGGACACGGGCCAGCAUCCUACGGAGGGCAGCAGGAGGGAAUCUUCGGCAAUGGGGGGAACCCUGACCGAGCAACGCGGCGUGAGUGAAGAAGGGUUUCGGGUCGUAAAGCUCUGUUGUUAAGGAAGCGGUACUUAACCAGAAAGGGACGGCUAACUACGUGCCAGCAGCCGCGGUAAUUC